rnacentral:rRNA from 1 species
CUGCCCUGGACUCUGGGAUAAGCGUUGGAAACGACGUCUAAUACCGGAUACGCGACGCGAAGGCAUCUUCAGCGUCGGGAAAGAACUUCGGUCCAGGAUGAGCUCUAGGCCUAUCAGCUAGUUGGUGAGGUAACGGCCCACCAAGGCGACGACGGGUAGCCGGCCUGAGAGGGUGACCGGCCACACUGGGACUGAGACACGGCCCAGACUCCUACGGGAGGCAGCAGUGGGGAAUAUUGCACAAUGGGCGCAAGCCUGAUGCAGCAACGCCGCGUGAGGGACGACGGCCUUCGGGUUGUAAACCUCUUUUAGUAGGGAAGAAGCGAAAGUGACGGUACCUGCAGAAAAAGCACCGGCUAACUACGUGCCAGCAGCCGCGGUAAUACGUAGGGUGCAAGCGUUAUCCGGAAUUAUUGGGCGUAAAGAGCUCGUAGGCGGUUUGUCGCGUCUGCUGUGAAAACUGGAGGCUCAACCUCCAGCCUGCAGUGGGUACGGGCAAACUAGAGUGCGGUAGGGGAGAUUGGAAUUCCUGGUGUAGCGGUGGAAUGCGCAGAUAUCAGGAGGAACACCGAUGGCGAAGGCAGAUCUCUGGGCCGUAACUGACGCUGAGGAGCGAAAGCAUGGGGAGCGAACAGGAUUAGAUACC